ACUGGGUUGUGGUGAUAAGAAAUCACAAGACACUCUGUCUGCCGAGAUUAGCUUCUUGGUCAUCAACCAGACUCUUCUCACAGUAACAUUCGCAUCUUCGAGAUGGCAGGUUGUGGAAAAAUAUUUCUUGUGAUCUUUGUGAUAGUUUUCUUCGGUGUAGUUAACUAUGGAAACUCAGUUCCUCUUCGGCAAGGGCAUCAUUUUACACAAAGAUCUCUCGCACCUGGUGCCAAGAGGUACUGCAUACCCGAUAGCACCUUUCUAGAUGAAUGCAACUGGUGCAAGUGCAACGAUCGAGGGGAUAAUUUUGUGUGCACAACAGAAAGAUGUGGAAAUAUACUAAAACCAAAAUCAUACGGUUGAUUGAAUAAACGAAUCUUUUUUAAAAUUAAA